GUGGGGGGGCAGCUGCUCUGCGGAGCGGGGAGAGACCUGACGCCGAGGCCGCCUCUUCCUCACGGGACGGCAGCCCGGCGGUGUCCGCGACAGGCAGCUACCGGGCCCCAGCAGUGCCGCCCUGGCGGUUGUAACGGAAGCUCGCUGUUAAAGGAAAUGGGUCCCGUCUUUUGGAGGUGACUGAGGUCUUCUGGCUUUGAAUAACUUUCGACAGCCUGACUGGGCACUCCUGCUGGAUAGUCUGGUUACCUUUCACAGACCUCUUAAAAGUAGUCCAACGACUGCAAGUGAAGGCCACUACUUUAGAGGGAUCUUUAUGCACACCACAGAAGGAGGUCUACAACUCCAGAGCCUCUUGUUUGGUUCCCUUUUUGCUGUAGAGGUACAUAUUCAACCCUUCUCACUCUUUAACAUUCUCAAUUCAGAGGUCCCUGCUCUGUAUUUCUCUCUCUGAUGCAAAGACUAGAUAUACCCGCACUUCUUUCUUACAAACACCAAACAAUUCAUCUGGAGCGUUUGCCCCUCAAGUUGGUUAAUCAAUUUUACGUAUGAAAAAGGACACAAAUGGCCCCAUAUUAUAGCUGUGUCCAGACAGUCCAAAAUUCUAAUUCAGUAGCAAAACUAGGCACAGACUCUAGUUCUUUGGAAUCAUCAUUUCUUUUCUUCCAGUUCUUUUUCUUUUUUUUUUUCUUCAGUCAUUACAGAUACUCCAUGAAAUUGAAAUGUUUGUUGGACCAAGUCACUACUUUGUAAGGCAGGAGAUGCUCUACUAUACAGAAACAAGAAACCAUGCACAUAAACUUAGUCUGUGGCACCUGAAAAGGAGAUUGAACAGCAAUGAUCACUUCAAAAUCGAGCUAAGAAGAGAAAACAGAUUCAAUAAAGGAGAAGUGCUACUGCCUUUCAGCAAAGAUAAAAGACGCAAUCUAAGACAGAGUCGAGUCGUUGUCAAGGACAUCGUGGGCACAGGUUGACAAGAACAAAUGGACUGGAAUCAUGAAGAAAAUACAAGGUUUAAGAAUUCAGGUUGCUGAAAAGGAAAGACCAUGUCAUCUUCUUAGAGAGUAUCCCAAUCUUGUGAGUGAAAAUUAAAUAAUUGAACCAUU